UGAGUAAGUUUUGUACUGCGGUUCGGUUUCCCGUUUCAGAAUAAAUUAUAUUAAAAUUUAAAUACCCAACAGUAAAUAAUUGGUUUUAAAAAUGUUUAAAUUUAAGUUUCAUCAACUGACUAGUAAUAAUGUAUUAUUGAAAAACAAAGAACAAGUCGUCGAUAGUCACAGCCCUCUACUACCGAUGUCACGACUUCCACAGAGAUAAAAAAAACAGAAAAAUAAUUUGCUGAAAUCAUAAUAACUUUUGUCUUGAACAAGCAACGGAACUUUGUGUACCUACAAAGCGGUAUACGAGUCGUGCAACUAUGCUACACACAUACUCACGAUUGCUAACGAUCCAAAGCGAUACUGGUUAAAAUGAACUCUUAUGACAAUAUCGAUUCAGGAAUUGAUUACAGCGUAGAAUUAUAAUAUGUUAUACGUAACAAUAAUCAUAGUACCUAAACUACUGAUACAGCUCGGUGAACAAACACUGGACCACUCUGCGUCAACACUGAGGACGUGCAAAAUGUGGAGCACAUCUUUGACAAAAUUGAAUAAGCUCGACUCCGCAUAAGACAUCAUUUUCUUUUAAGAACUACCAUGAAACCUGUCAAAGACGGAAUCGCACAGGUCUAACAAACAGUUGCGAUUGAGGCUGGUGUAGCGCAGUAGUCAUUGUGCUGGCGAUUACGUGUACUGUUAACGGUUCAAUUCCUGUCACAGAGCAUCAAUUUGCGAGACUACAAGUGUCGCCUUCCAAUUGCAAUACACCGUUUCCCCUGCUCAGGAUACACUCCACUAGAAGUGGCGUCCACAUGCAUAGUUAUCCAAAAGGAUUUUACAUAUUCUUUAACUGCUUUAUAAAUUGUGUUUUAGGUAUAUUUAUUUCCUCAAUUUUUUUUCAAAAUAUAUACUUCUAUAUCAUUGUCUUACUAUUUUUUUUUUUUAUUAAUUAACAUAUUAAGGGGUUCAAUUAUUGGUUUAAGUUUUUCAUUUAAUUGCCAUUAAAAUGUUAAAAAAAAUUUAAUUAACUCAAUAAACCGAUUUAUGUGGGGUUUGAUAUUUCAGACAUAAUUAUCUAAAGUAAUUAAUUACCAUUUCCAUUAUAAUUUUAUGAUUUCAAAGUACGAUAAAAAUUUUAAUUUAGUCUAUUCAGUUACUGAUAGCUUAGCUUACGAGGUUGUAACAGAUAAUUUUGUAUCAAAACCUUAUACAUUAUGCUAUUUUAGAGUAAUAUUAUGACUCAAACAUUAAACGAGUAUUUUGUAUGUAACUACAAAACAAAAAACAACGUAUAUUAAGACAUUUUGAAAAAAUAGCAAUUAAAUU